AUGUGGAAAGACUUCCAUCUUUGUUUUCCAACAAAUCUCAUCAAGCCCUCCUCCGAGGCCGCCGCCUCCUCCCAAGAACCGAACCGGCCAUCCAUUCUUCUCAUCAACAACUUCAACCACCUUUACGACGAUUCCACAGCCACCGGUCGCCGCCCGGCCAUCCAUUCCUCUCAUCAACAACUUCAACCACCUUUACGACGAUUCCACAGCCACCGGUCGCCGCAUAUCUAAGCCUAUUAUUGAAGUCAUUCCACCUUCCUCCAUUACAACCGCCACGACAUUCACUGCCUCC
rnacentral:lncRNA from 1 species